rnacentral:rRNA from 1 species
GACGAACGCUGGCGGCGUGCUUAACACAUGCAAGUCGAACGGAAAGGCCCUGCUUGCAGGGUACUCGAGUGGCGAACGGGUGAGUAACACGUGGGUGAUCUGCCCUGCACUUCGGGAUAAGCCUGGGAAACUGGGUCUAAUACCGGCUAGGAGCCAUUUUUAGUGUGAUGGUUGGAAAGUUUUUUCGGUGUAGGAUGAGCUCGCGGCCUAUCAGCUUGUUGGUGGGGUAAUGGCCUACCAAGGCGGCGACGGGUAGCCGGCCUGAGAGGGUGGACGGCCACAGUGAGAAUGAGAUACGGCCCAGACUCCUGCGGGAGGCAGCAGUGGGGAAUAUUGCACAAUGGGCGCAGGCCUGAUGCAGCGACGCCGCGUGGGGGAUGACGGCCUUCGGGUUGAAAACUCCUUUCGCUAGGGACGAAGCUUUUUGUGACGGUACCUAGAUAAGAAGCACCGGCUAACUACGUG